rnacentral:rRNA from 1 species
UACGUAGGGGGCGAGCGUUGUCCGGAUUUAUUGGGCGUAAAGAGCGUGUAGGCGGCCAGGUAGGUCUGCUGUGAAAACUCGAGGCUCAACCUCGAGACGUCGGCGGAAACCAUCUGGCUAGAGUCCGGAAGAGGAGAGUGGAAUUCCUGGUGUAGCGGUGAAAUGCGCAGAUAUCAGGAGGAACACCGGUGGCGAAGGCGGUUCUCUGGGCAUGUCCUGACGCUGGAGGAGCGAAAGUGUGGGGAGCGAACAGG